rnacentral:miRNA from 1 species
GAUGAGAGAAAUUGAAGAUACAGGUCAGUGGUAGAGCAUAGGGGUGCUCUACCACUGACCUGUAUCUCCAAACUUUUUAUUUA